CCUACGGGUGGCAGCAGUGGGGAAUAUUGGUCAAUGGGCGCAAGCCUGACCCAGCAACGCCGCGUGAAGGAAGAAGGCCCUCGGGUUGUUAACUUCUUUUAUUCGGGACGAAACAAAUGACGGUACCGAAUGAAUAAGCCACGGCUAACUACGUGCCAGCAGCCGCGGUAAUACGUCGGGGGCAAGCGUUAACCGGAUUUACUGGGUGUAAAGGGCGUGUAGGCGGGGGAGCAAGUCUGACGUGAAAUUCCAGGGGUCACACCUGGAACUGCGUUUGAAACUGUUCUGCUUGAGUGAUGGCGAGGCAGGCGGAAUUACGUGUGUAGCGGUGAAAUGCGUAGAUAUACGGAGGAACACCAGUGGCGAAGGCGGCCUGCUGGACAUUAACUGACGCUGAGGCGCGAGAGCGUGGGGAGCAAACAGGAUUAGAUACCCUUGUAGUC
rnacentral:rRNA from 1 species